AGGGCUCUCAUAAAUUAUACCGCACAAAUGGUUUCACGUUAUCUCUUCCUGGAGGUGAAAGGAAACAGCUGAUGGUUCCGGGUCAAGUUGAGGCACCUCUGACCUCCAGCCCCCAGAGCCACAGCGCCGCCUGCUGGUGGAGCCCCGCCAGAACUGACAUAGACUCGUCCAGCCUCCAGGUGCACCCACGCCCUUUUCUUGCACCAAGAAGCUGAGCAGCCUCUCUCUACUCUCUGUGACCGUCCUCUUUGGCCUCCGCAUGGUUCAGCCUGGAAUCCUGAAGAGUCUGCACCGAAACCUGGAUAUUGCCCAGAGUUUACUCUAUCCUGCCCUUUCACCCUCUUACCUGUGUGCUGCACUAUAAAGCCUGCCUGGGGAUCGAGAAGUAUUGCUUCUUCAACUGUCAACAUCAGUGUACAGAGCUUUGGUGGACUUUGGAUUGAGGUGGAAACUCCUUAGCCAAGCCUGAGGAGACGCUGGUGCUACAGGCUCUGAUUUGGAUAACUGGUCUCCAAUUUGUCCAUGAUCUUCCCAGGCCCAAGAUGUCAUUUCAGAGUUAAAUGCUUGUUAAUAUGACAAGAAGACAAAGAGAUAAAGCAUUGUAUAUUUAAAACCACAGAAAAAUCUGUAAGACUGCUGGAUCUCCUCUCUCUCUCCCUGUCUCUCUCUCCAUCCUUUAUGGCUUUUCCCUUAGGAUCUGAAAAAAGGAUAUGAUUAAUAUUUCACAUUUAGUUAAGGACCACAAAGGUAGUAGAAGUCUGGACAAGUCUUCCAAAAUUUUAUUUGUAACUAUUAUAAACAAAUUUUGAAAAGCCAAUUAUUCCCUAGCAUGCUUUAAGUUGACAUCUAACAUUUUUAUCAUAAUUGCAUAAUAGUUACAAAGAAUAAACUUUUAAGAAUAUGAUGAAUAUUGUCCUUUCAUUUAAAAAGCAACCUUAAUCUUUUUAAUGUUUCUAACGGAAUUUAAUCAUCUUGACUUGAUAGUAAUAACUAUUAAGGAAAAAAAAAGCAUGUUCUUUUCUCCCAUCUUCUUCCUCUUCUUCUCCCUUUUUUCAACAUUUCCUGAACUAUUCAAACCAAAACUAUAGGUGAGUAGGUUUGUUUAGGACUCACUCUGAAAAGCAGAUACCUAGACAGGAUUAGGUAAUCAAGAGUGUGUGUCAGGGAAAAUGCCUGUGAGGGACAAAGGGAGGUAGCCAAAGUGGCAAGGAGAGCAUGAGACCAUGAUGCAGGGCUGCCUGCUCUGAGGGAGGAGAGAAGGAAGGAGGAAGAGUCUCAGAAUGAAUUACAACAUUGGUAAAGUGCCAGUCAGGCUGAAAGACAACGCUUGAACUGAAGUCACCUAUCAGAAGAGGCCCAGGUCUCAGAAUGAGCCUGCCUUAGUGUUCGGGCCUCACUCAGUCAUUGGCUGGGAGUAACCUGAUGGAAGCAUCCAUGACUUCUGCACAGACAUAGUGGCAGAUGCAGAGGACAGUAGCUGGGGGCAUCCAUCAGUUGCACACCCUGAAGCAGCAGGAGAUCUAAGCAGUGCAUUUCCAUGCUCACCACUGUCCUCUACCUUGUGUUGCAGUUAC
rnacentral:lncRNA from 1 species